UCGGGAACUGUGAGACAGGUGCUGCAUGGCUGUCGUCAGCUCGUGUUGUGAAAUGUUGGGUUAAGUCCCGCAACGAGCGCAACCCUUAUCCUUUGUUGCCAGCGGUCCGGCCGGGAACUCAAAGGAGACUGCCAGUGAUAAACUGGAGGAAGGUGGGGAUGACGUCAAGUCAUCAUGGCCCUUACGACCAGGGCUACACACGUGCUACAAUGGCGCAUACAAAGAGAAGCGACCUCGCGAGAGCAAGCGGACCUCAUAAAGUGCGUCGUAGUCCGGAUUGGAGUCUGCAACUCGACUCCAUGAAGUCGGAAUCGCUAGUAAUCGUGGAUCAGAAUGCCACGGUGAAUACGUUCCCGGGCCUUGUACACACCGCCCGUCACACCAUGGGAGUGGGUUGCAAAAGAAGUAGGUAGCUUAACCUUCGGGAGGGCGCUUACCACUUUGUGAUUCAUGACUGGGGUGAAGUCGUAACAAGGUAACCGUAGGGGAACCUGCGGUUGGAUCAC
rnacentral:rRNA from 1 species